AGCUUUGCGCAGUGGCAGUAUCGUAAACGAUGAGGUUUAUCCGAGUUGCGAUUAUUGCUAAUUGAAAACUAUACCCAAUACCCCGCCAUGCGGACGUGAAAUACCGUCCACAUAGGCAAUUUCUGAAGGAAACUACGGUUU
rnacentral:snRNA from 1 species